CAACGCCGCGUGAGGGAUGAAGGCCUCUGGGCUGUAAACCUCUUUUAUCAAGGAAGAAGAUCUGACGGUACUUGAUGAAUAAGCCACGGCUAAUUCCGUGCCAGCAGCCGCGGUAAUACGGGAGUGGCAAGCGUUAUCCGGAAUUAUUGGGCGUAAAGCGUCCGCAGGCGGUCCUGAAAGUCUGUUGUUAAAGCGUGGAGCUCAACUCCAUUUCAGCAAUGGAAACUAMAAGACUAGAGUGUGGUAGGGGCAGAGGGAAUUCCCGGUGUAGCGGUGAAAUGCGUAGAUAU
rnacentral:rRNA from 1 species